rnacentral:rRNA from 1 species
GCUUAUCACCAUUCCACAUUGAAUAUACCCGAUCUCGUCUGAUCUCGGAAGUCAAGCAAUCUCGGGCUUGGUUAGUACUUGGAUGGG